rnacentral:rRNA from 1 species
GAUGAACGCUGGCGGCGUGCCUAAUACAUGCAAGUCGAGCGAACAGAUGAGGAGCUUGCUCCUCUGACGUUAGCGGCGGACGGGUGAGUAACACGUGGAUAACCUACCUAUAAGACUGGGAUAACUUCGGGAAACCGGAGCUAAUACCGGAUAAUAUAUUGAACCGCAUGGUUCAAUAGUGAAAGACGGUUUUGCUGUCACUUAUAGAUGGAUCCGCGCCGCAUUAGCUAGUUGGUAAGGUAACGGCUUACCAAGGCAACGAUGCGUAGCCGACCUGAGAGGGUGAUCGGCCACACUGGAACUGAGCCACGGUCCAGACUCCUACGGGAGGCAGCAGUAGGGAAUCUUCCGCAAUGGGCGAAAGCCUGACGGAGCAACGCCGCGUGAGUGAUGAAGGUCUUCGGAUCGUAAAACUCUGUUAUUAGGGAAGAACAAAUGCGUAAGUAACUAUGCACGUCUUGACGGUACCUAAUCAGAAAGCCACGGCUAACUACGUG